rnacentral:rRNA from 1 species
AGUGAACGUUGGCGGCGUGGAUUAGGCAUGCAAGUCGAGCGAGAACCGUAGCAAUACGGGGACAGCGGCGAACGGGACAGUAAUGUGUAGGUACCUACCCCUGGGUCCGGGAUAGCUGCGGGAAACUGCAGGUAAUACCGGAUAACGUCUGAGGACCAAAGGUGUGAUUCACCUGGGGAGGGGCCUGCAUCCUAUUAGCUUGUUGGUGGGGUAACGGCUCACCAAGGCAACGAUGGGUAGCGGGUGUGAGAGCACGACCCGCGUCAUUGGGACUGAGAUACUGCCCAGACACCUACGGGUGGCUGCAGUCGAGGAUCUUCGGCAAUGGGCGCAAGCCUGACCGAGCGACGCCGCGUGCGGGAUGAAGGCCUUCGGGUUGUAAACCGCUGUCGUAGAGGAGGAAAUGCAGGGGGGUUCUCCCCUUUGCUUGACCUAUUCUAGGAGGAAGUACGGGCUAAGUUCGUGCCAGCCGCCGCGGUAA